GGCUUUGAACUCAAGAUUCUCCUGCCUCAGCCUCCUGAGCCAAGCAGCUGGGAUUACAGGCUGCAAAACAGGCCAAGGAAGCUGUUGAUGAAAUGAAUGACCACCAGGAGAAGCUGGAAGAGACUGAUGCACAGAAGUGUGGAGAAGAAGGACACGUGCCAAACAACAGCUUUAGAGGGCUCCCGACAGACAGAGUUCCAGAGAGAAUGGUCAUAUAAAUAAUUCCUACACCAAAAAAUAAAAAUAAAGGGUCAGGAGUAGGGGAAUAAGUAUAUCUAAAAAAGCAAUCCCAAUAGAAAUCUAAGACCUCGCCUGGCUCAGGUCACAGGAUUGGAUUUGCUAAGGUGACUUUUACUACUGCACUUAAAUUUCUGAGUAUCAGAGUAAGGAGAUGCUAGAAUGUGUGAACAAAAUGAGGUUUUGUUUGUUUGUUUACCAGGGAUUGAACCAAGGGGUACUUAGUCACUGAGCCACAUUCCAGCCAUUUUUUAUAUUUUAUUUAAAGACAAGUUCUUGUUGAGUUGCUUAGGGCCCUGCUAAAUUUCUGAGGCUAGCUUUUAACUUGUGAUUCUCCUGCCUCAGCCUCUCAAGCUGCUGUGAUUACAGGCAUGCACCACCAUGCCCAAUCAAAACUGCGUUUGUAACAUAGUCCAUUCCAUCUCUGUGUUAUUCUCCCCCCCCUCUCCCCAACCAACCCUCCCUCUGUCUCUCUCUCUCUCUGAAAAGACUUCAAAUCCACAACUCUAUUUACCUGUUAUGCAUGUCUUUGAAUGGGUAGCCAUAUUUCCAAGCUUGUGUCUGAUUGAAGAAUGAGACGUCAAACAUGCAAAAAGGACCAUCUUUCAGUGCUACUCCAGAAGUGAUAAAGCAAAUCAAGGCUCCAAGCAAAGCCAGGCCACUUGAAAACAGAGCAGUGAGCAACUGUAGAAGGAGGGAGCAAAUAGAGUCGACACAGCAACAUGGUUAGGUGGUUUUAGGGGUGAACUGGUGAACUGGACAAGUCUAACUUAUCUGGUGUUUGGUCUUUCUCCCAUCCUAUCACAGGGGGAUAAUUCUACCCAUGACACCUCUUUAGAAGCAUGACCAAGAUGAAGUGGAUGGUGAGGGGUCCCUGGGUAGAGCUAGGAAGAGAGAGGGGAGAAAGGCCCCCCCC